rnacentral:tRNA from 1 species
GAAGGUAUAGCUCAGGGGUAGAGUGCGUGCUUAGCAUGCACGAGGUCCUGGGUUCAAUCCUGUGUCUCCA